UAAAGGCAUUCUCACUCACUGACAUGCUCAGUGAACAGAAUAUCUCAUCAUGGCAAAACAGGAGGAAACAGCAGAAAACGUCGACUCAAGUUGAACUAUAUUUUAUGGUUCAAAGCAUUCAAGCCUGCCAAAUAAACGGAAAGGUCAAGUCAUCACUUCAAUAAACAAGAUGUUCACUGACCUGUUGGGUAUUUCAGCAUUUCAAUCAAUAAUCCAAUGAAUGAAAAUUCAUGUAACAACAUAACAAAACUGUUGGAGCCUGUGAUUAUAGUUUGGAGUUCGACGAGUGAUCUAGCGCUCUGCUGUCCCCAAGAAAAUUCCAGGAAAGGACCACGAGCAUGAGCUGUCCAGAAGAAAAAGAGUUGUCCGGAACAGGAGACCAGAGUCAAGGUGCAGGGCAAUGAUCAACUCCAUUUCUCGCCGACAUCGAGGCAAAUGCGGAGGAGGCCAGGUCGGUGGUUACUCUUCACGGGUCAAGCUGGAGAUCACUCUCCACAGGAGGCUGCGUCGGGCCAGAGGUUGCCCCUCACAGGAGGACACUCCACACGGGAGGCUGCGUCAGGCCAGAGGUUUGAGAGGCUGCACUCGGCAGAUGAAGGCCCCACGAAAAGACUGAGUUUGAGCUGUUGUGCUCCUCAAUGCUGAUGGACAUUUGUGAUUAUUGGAAUGGACUGUACUUUAUAUUGGACUCCUUCAGUUCUUCUGUGUUUUCUUUUUGAUACGGAUUGGUGGGUGGGCAAUAUGUUACUUUUUUGGGUCAGGAAGGGGUUGGGGUUUUGAUGUUGUUGUCACUGUUUUUUCGCAUGGGUGCAGCUUGUG